GUGCCAGCCGCCGCGGUAAGACGAACCGUGCGAACGUUGUUCGGAAUCACUGGGCUUAAAGGGCGCGUAGGCGGCUUGCCAAGUCUCGGGUGAAAUCUUUCGGCCCAACCGGAAAAGUGCCCGGGAUACUGGCGGGCUCGAGCGAGGUAGGGGCAGGGGGAACUUCCGGUGGAGCGGUGAAAUGCGUUGAUAUCGGAAGGAACGCCGGUGGCGAAAGCGCCCUGCUGGACCUCACCUGACGCUGAGGCGCGAAAGCCAGGGGAGCAAACGGGAUUAGAUACCCCGGUAGUCC
rnacentral:rRNA from 1 species